UUUUUCAGGUAUUGCGGGCGGUGAGGUUGAGACGAGACGUGAGACACGUUCGUAGCGGUCGUUAGAGCUUCCGACCCGGUUUGUUCGGUUUAGUCGUCAUCCUCUUUAUUUUUGUUGGUAUAACUUAGACAUAUCAUGGUUCAGUAUUUGGUAUUUCAGUUAAUUAUUAUAUUUGGAUUUGACUUUGUGAAUGUAAUAAAAAGGAUUCAUGGUUUUCGUAAAUAAAAGAUUUUCUACCCCUCGUGAUAGCUUUUUUUAAAAGAUAAAAGUUUCCGUGUAGGGAACAGUUUUCAAAAGGUUUUUCGUGGAUUUAUGUUUAGACAUUGAAUGUAAAUCUGUGAUGUGAAUGGUGAAUGUAUGAAUGUAUAGUUAUCUCUAUAUUCAUUUAGUCGUGGUUGUAUCCGGUUUACUUGUUGUACUUGUGCGACGCCGUGCAAAUACAGGGAAGAUUUUGUCCGUGUGAACAGUGGAUUUUCUGUAUUUGUGGAGGAUCUGGCAUACCUUGGGGUCAAGUUUUCAAAAAAAAAAAAU
rnacentral:lncRNA from 1 species